AAAAAAGCAGGGGUCUGUUGCUUAAUGUGAGCAGGCCUCUCGUAACCUUCAGGGAUAUAAUAACCAUUGUUCUUGGGUGAACCUCUGUUCUUUAUUUGUGAUUGAAGGUUCAGUAAAUGAUGGAACAUGC
rfam:Lupinus angustifolius cultivar Tanjil contig_30295, whole genome shotgun sequence.